rnacentral:sRNA from 1 species
CCCUAGCCCUGAUAGAAGCGGCAUCCUUUUGUGGCGGGGUUCGCCACAAAAGAUAAAGCGGAUAGCAGGAAACAGC